UAGGGAAUCUUCCGCAAUGGGCGAAAGCCUGACGGAGCAACGCCGCGUGAGUGAUGAAGGUCUUCGGAUCGUAAAACUCUGUUAUUAGGGAAGAACAAAUGUGUAAGUAACUAUGCACGUCUUGACGGUACCUAAUCAGAAAGCCACGGCUAACUACGUGCCAGCAGCCGCGGUAAUACGUAGGUGGCAAGCGUUAUCCGGAAUUAUUGGGCGUAAAGCGCGCGUAGGCGGUUUUUUAAGUCUGAUGUGAAAGCCCACGGCUCAACCGUGGAGGGUCAUUUGAAACUGGAAAACUUGAGUGCAGAAGAGGAAAGGGGAAUUCCAUGUGUAGCGGUAAAAUGCGCAGAAAUAUGGAGGAACACCAGUGGCGAAGGCGACUUUCUGGUCUGUAACUAACGCUGAUGUGCGAAAGCGUGGGAAUCAAACAGG
rnacentral:rRNA from 1 species